rnacentral:lncRNA from 1 species
UUCCAGAUUAGAGAAUGAGUUUAGUAAAAGAUGGUGAGGAGAUUAAGCUUGCCUGACUCUGCACAGUGGCUUUUCAGCGAGCCGUAUCCAUGGUUCACAGUUUUGUUGUGCAACCACAUUCUCCUUUCUCACUCUGCUGUAAGAGGCCUCGUGGCAACCAACCUGUGACGUCCUCCUCUGCCAUGGGGAGAACAUCGGGGCUUCUUUCCUCCUUCGGAAGGGAAAGCCAGAGACUGACCUGGUCAAAUCUUCUAUGUCUACCAGCAUCGCAUCCUGCUCUGUGUGCAGCUCAUCCCGGAUGAGAAGCAGCUGGACCAAUUCUUCAUUCAAGCCUGGAGCAAAGAAAGGAGCACUUAGAAAUGGCACCGCGGCCACGUCAGAACAUGCAGUUAUGCACUGUCCAUCUUCCCGUACCCUAGGCACACAUGUACAUGGACACAGCUAGACAUCACAGUAAAGAUAUUUUUGUGACAAUUCAGACUUCUUACUUUAGCUUCUCAAAAGCCUAGAAGUCAGCAGUUGGAGAAAUAUGAGCAGUUACAUAUUUCAGAGGUACUGGAAGAAAUGGAGUCAAGUUAGAAGUAUCACUUGAGUAUCCUUUACUCUAAAUGCUUGGGACUAGAAAAUGUUUCAGAUUUUGCUGGUUUGAUGAUUUUGGAGUAUUUGAAUCAAUACUACCCCCAAAUCCUAAAUCUGAAAUGUUCUAAAAUUUGAAACUUGGUGAACAUUUCAAAGCAUUUGACAUUUUAGUGAAUGCUCAACUUAUACAUUCAAUGACAUUUGUAUUAAAUACAAAAAUAAAUUGUUAGUUGCCCAGAACUAGCUUGUUAGAAAAAGUGGAAUUUGUUUUGAAGAGAUGAGCAUGUUCCGUUUUCUAUCCUUCCUUUGCAGGAUGCUGUUCGCCACACUGAGUGUGGGAGGAGCCUCCUGGCACCUGGCUGUGCUACAUCAGACACCCAGCUGGAGAGGUACAUCAGGAAUGUUCAAAGCCUUUGUGUGGCUCUAGGAAGUUGUUCCAAAGGAAAGCAUCGUGUUAAAAUAUUGGAAAAUCAGAUUUCUGGAAUAAUCAGAUGUGUAAGGCCUGAAGAAAUAAUCCAUAGAGUCUCUGGAAAAUAGGGUGUCAAGGAAAAUAUUCCUGAGACAUAUACUGGAAAUAAAAAAAUAUACAUUUUAUUGCUACCAAAUACAUACACACACACACACACACACACACACACAGAUAGAGAGAGACAGAGAUUUCUAGUUCUACUCAAAUCCAUCAUGUACUGAGUUAACUGGCUAUUGCAUAAAAACUAUGAAGAAGCAAAGGGCUCACUCUUUUCUCCCUCAGAGAAGCCCCUGAGCAGCUAGGUGCAGACACAGGAGGAAAACACUCACUGAUGCGAUCCCUGGGUAGGGAAACAAAAGAAAAGGUGGGGCCAUUCAGGAACCCCCCACAUACUUUAAGAGAUUCUGUCUUUAAGUGGUGUAUUUAUCUGCUUUUAGUUCAGACUAGUUUCAAAGUCUAAAAACAGAGAAAAUCACAUGCCAAAGUACACAGUUCCACCUGCUCCCAAAAAUGACUGGAUUACAAUUUUAUUAUUUAAGAGUCUAAAGAAGAUGUUUCGGUGUUAAAAAUAUUAGAAAGACUUUUCAGUCCUGGAAUGAAUAACAAUUCUUGUAAUUAAGUCUCAACUGAAAUUAAAAUCUAG